rnacentral:rRNA from 1 species
ACUGGUGAUAAAUGCGGAGGGGGUCCACCCGGUCCCAUGCCGAACCCGGCAGUUAAGCCCUCACGCGCCGAUGGUACUGCGAUUCGCUUCGCGGGAGAGUAGGUCGUCGCCCGUG